GACGUAGGGCGCGAGCGUUGUCCGGAUUUACUGGGCGUAAAGAGCGCGCAGGCGGUCGUUCAAGUCGAGUGUCGAAAGCCCCCCGGCUCAACUGGGGAGGGGUCACUCGAUACUGAUCGACUCGAAGGCAGGAGAGGGAAGCGGAAUUCCCGGUGUAGUGGUGAAAUGCGUAGAUAUCGGGAGGAACACCAGUGGCGAAGGCGACUUCCUGGCCUGUUCUUGACGCUGAGGCGGCGAAAGCUAGGGGAGCAAACGGG
rnacentral:rRNA from 1 species